rnacentral:miRNA from 1 species
AUAUAUACAUAUGUGUGUGUGUAUGUGUAUGUAUGUGUAUAUGCACACACACGUACACACACGAAAACCAGUCAAACACAC